rnacentral:lncRNA from 1 species
UCUAAUUGAGGGUGCUUUGUUGAUUUCUAGAGAUGCCCCAGCACAUCGUGCUCUUGGAAUAAUCAAUCACAAUGGGCCUGAUAUGUCAAGUCUAUUGUUACUCAUUUUUUGUUGAUCAAAAUUUUGGUGUAAUAAUCUAGACUUAGGAUUGUAACUGCUCUUGGUUGUGGUUGUGUGGGCAUGGUUAGAUUUGUGGUGGGUAACAUUCUUACCUUUUUUUAGGAUGUUCUUGUAAUGAACCUUUAAUGGCAGAUUAAUAUAAUUUCGAAAUAGUCAUGUCAAUUUUUUUUAUUCAUAUUGUUGCA